rnacentral:piRNA from 1 species
AGUGACUUUAGAAGAGGAGCCGGU